rnacentral:rRNA from 1 species
AGUGAACGCUGGCGGUAGGCCUAACACAUGCAAGUCGAACGGCAGCACAGUAAGAGCUUGCUCUUACGGGUGGCGAGUGGCGGACGGGUGAGGAAUACAUCGGAAUCUACUUUUUCGUGGGGGAUAACGUCGGGAAACUUACGCUAAUACCGCAUACGACCUACGGGUGAAAGCAGGGGAUCUUCGGACCUUGCGCGAUUGAAUGAGCCGAUGUCGGAUUAGCUAGUUGGCGGGGUAAAGGCCCACCAAGGCGACGAUCCGUAGCUGGUCUGAGAGGAUGAUCAGCCACACUGGAACUGAGACACGGUCCAGACUCCUACGGGAGGCAGCAGUGGGGAAUAUUGGACAAUGGGCGCAAGCCUGAUCCAGCCAUACCGCGUGGGUGAAGAAGGCCUUCGGGUUGUAAAGCCCUUUUGUUGGGAAAGAAAAGCAGCAGGUUAAUACCCCGCUGUUCUGACGGUACCCAAAGAAUAAGCACCGGCUAACUUCGUG